UUGCGCUGUAAAAGAAUGCCUUGAAACCAUUCAGAGGGCAGAUCAGUGGGCAAACUGGGACUUGACAGCCAAGAAUCUCUUUAAAGAUGAUAUUUCAGGAGCAGACUCCGUCAUUCAUCAUCUUCAGAAACAUGGAGAGUGUGCUCCCUUAUCUCCUCUGGUACCACAAGAGGUCAGAAGCCAAACUCAUCACCAGGAGAGAAUCCAGUGUCCCCAUUUGCUCCAUGCCUCACCGUGGUGCGAUCAUCUGAAAGAAGGCUCUCGUUCCAGUCAGUCUCCUCUCCCAGGACGGAGGCAGGGGAGAGUGCUGGCCUAGCAGUGCCUCCUUCUAACCAUGAUUCUUACGUCCUGUCACCUUCCCCACCCCUUAUACCAAGGGCUCUUUCCUUGAGGGGCCCACCAUGAUGCUGCUCCAGGCAUUAUCCACCCUACAUGUAAGAUGUGUACAGCCUCAGCUCCUGAAGAGCCGAUGCAGAUGGCCACGCUGCCGGUGGGCUCCAAGUUGGCAUGAGGAAGGACCAGAGAGCCUGACAAGAGAUGGGAGUGGAAAAGGGUGUAGACAGCAGACCUUGGCUGUCCGGUAGAAGACUUUCCAAUGUGCUGUUCACAUUUGCGGGAAAUAUCACAUCCCAUUGUACUGGCCUGGGGAGGCCGGCAGGCAGACACAGAAAGCAACCUGCUGGGUGACCCGGAGAAUGCCCAAAGACAUUUUCUUCCCAGUCCUAGUGCUCGCCACUAUCUCCUGACCCAUUAUCAAAAAUCCGUUCUCACUUCUUUCCUACACUGUCAAUACAUACCCCUUUUGAUUCUAUGACCUCGAUUUAAACACCUUUAUCUUCCUGUCUAUACCAACACUGAGUUUAACUUGUUCUUUGUGGGAAACUUCUUAAGGUACAAAUGAGGAUGAUCACCUAUCUUCUUUUGUAGCUACAUACAUAUAGGGCAACAUUUUCUUUCUCUGCAUUACUUAAAGUGCAUCCCCAAACUUUUUAUUUGUUGUUGCUUUUAUCCAUCUUAAAUAUUAAUCUCAGCUACUCUGUAGAGUGAGGCAAAGGAUUCCAACACCAAGGCUACUCUGAGCAACACUGUGAGAUCUUGGCUUAAAACAGAAUAAGAUAAAAAUAAAAUACUUUAAAUUUAA